rnacentral:rRNA from 1 species
UACGGGGGGUGCUAGCGUUGUCCGGAAUCACUGGGCGUAAAGGGCGCGUAGGUGGUUUGAUAAGGGUGUGGUGAAAGUCCGGAGCUCAACUCCGGAUCUGCCGUGCAGACUGUCAAACUCGAGGGCUGUAGAGGCAGACGGAAUUCCGGGUGUAGCGGUGGAAUGCGUAGAGAUCCGGAGGAAGACCGGUGGCGAAGGCGGUCUGCUGGGCAGUUUCUGACACUGAGGCGCGACAGCGUGGGGAGCAAACAGG